UACGAAGGGGGCUAGCGUUGUUCGGAAUUACUGGGCGUAAAGCGCACGUAGGCGGACUAUUAAGUCAGGGGUGAAAUCCUGGAGCUCAACUCCAGAACUGCCUUUGAUACUGAGGAUCUUGAGUUCGGGAGAGGUGAGUGGAACUGCGAGUGUAGAGGUGAAAUUCGUAGAUAUUCGCAAGAACACCAGUGGCGAAGGCGGCUCACUGGCCCGAUACUGACGCUGAGGUGCGAAAGCGUGGG
rnacentral:rRNA from 1 species